CCGCUGGGGAGAUGGACCUCACCUGGCACCAUUACUCUGGAUGUAACAGCUCAACUCUGCUGUCAAAACAUCAAUGACUCGAGAAGCGGACAGCGAGAUUUCUGGUGCCUGGCUGGAGACGAGAUUCUGAUUAUUCAAGAGCCAAAACAAAAUGUCAGAAUAAAUAGUUAGAAGGCAGAUUUGUUUUCUGUUUGUUAUUGUUUUCAUUAUUAAUGCUCCAUAACACAAAAUUCAUCACUGCUGUAACUCUUGAGUUGAAUAAAAUGUUCUUCUUUCAAUCUGUUAUUUCUGAAGUCUUUUUUUUUUUUUUACCAUAAUCAUUUGUGGAAACAUUAUAUAUUAAAGGAACGCCCACAUUUUUAAUAGAACUUCAUGACUGAUCAAAGCACAAACUGGAGAACAGGAUUAAAAGAAAUGUAUUUGUUUUAGUAAGUGUUAAUUAAUUUGUAGUUACAUCAAUACAAAAUUCACAUC